rnacentral:rRNA from 1 species
UUGGAGGGCAAGUCUGGUGCCAGCAGCCGCGGUAAUUCCAGCUCCAAUAGCGUAUAUUAAAGUUGUUGCAGUUAAAAAGCUCGUAGUUGAAUUUCGGGAUCAGUAUGUUGGUCGUGCUUCGGUACGUACUGUCAUUACUGGUUUCUCCCUUCUGAAGAACCUUGAUGUCAUUAAUUUGGUGUCUUGGGGAAUUAGGACUGUUACUUUGAAAAAAUUAGAGUGUUUAAAGCAGGCAUACGCUUGAAUACAUUAGCAUGGAAUAAUGAAAUAGGACGUUUGAUUCUAUUUUGUUGGUUUCUAGGAUCGACGUAAUGAUUAAUAGGGAUAGUUGGGGGCAUUAGUAUUCAAUUGUCAGAGGUGAAAUUCUCGGAUUUAUUGAAGACUAACUACUGCGAAAGCAUUUGCCAAGGAUGUUUUCAUUAAUCAAGAACGAAAGUUAGGGGAUCGAAGACGAUCAGAUACCGUCGUAGUCUUAACCAUAAACUAUGCCGACUAGGGAUCGGAUGAUGUUAAUUUUAUAAUGACUCAUUCGGCGCCUUACGGGAAACAAUCG